rnacentral:sRNA from 1 species
GCGCGGCCUCCGCCGAGUCCGGCGCGCCUGCGGCGGCCGGAGCCGGGGACCCAACCGACCCUGGGGUGAAUCGGCCCCUCCCCGUCCCGGGAGGACCGUAGGGCAACCCUUCCGAACCACCCGCCCGAACCCGACAGCUAACCCGGUAGGCGGCCGAUGGAAGGAGUC